CACGUAGGGCGCAAGCGUUGUCCGGAAUUAUUGGGCGUAAAGAGCUCGUAGGCGGUCUGUUGCGUCCGCUGUGAAAACUCGGGGCUUAACCCCGAGCCUGCAGUGGAUACGGGCAGACUAGAGGUAGGUAGGGGAGAAUGGAAUUCCCGGUGUAGCGGUGAAAUGCGCAGAUAUCGGGAGGAACACCGGUGGCGAAGGCGGUUCUCUGGGCCUUACCUGACGCUGAGGAGCGAAAGCAUGGGAGCAACAGG
rnacentral:rRNA from 1 species